GACGGGGGGGCAAGUGUUCUUCGGAAUGACUGGGCGUAAAGGGCACGUAGGCGGUGAAUCGGGUUGAAAGUGAAAGUCGCCAAAAAGUGGCGGAAUGCUCUCGAAACCAAUUCACUUGAGUGAGACAGAGGAGAGUGGAAUUUCGUGUGUAGGGGUGAAAUCCGUAAAUAUCAGGAAGAACACCCGUGGCUAAGGCGGUUCUCUAGUACGGUACUGACGCUGAGACGCGAAAGCGUGGGGAGCGAACGGG
rnacentral:rRNA from 1 species